CGACCGGCGCACGGGUGAGUAACACGUAUCCAACCUGCCGUCUACUCUUGGACAGCCUUCUGAAAGGAAGAUUAAUACAAGAUGGCAUCAUGAGUCCGCAUGUUCACAUGAUUAAAGGUAUUCCGGUAGACGAUGGGGAUGCGUUCCACUAGAUAGUAGGCGGGGUAACGGCCCACCUAGUCUUCGAUGGGUAGGGGUUCUGAGAGGAAGGUCCCCCACAUUGGAACUGAGACACGGUCCAAACUCCUACGGGAGGCAGCCAUG
rnacentral:rRNA from 1 species